GGAUGUGAGGGUGAUCUGGCUGCGACGUCUGUCACCCCAUUGAUCGCCAGGGUUCAUUUGACUGAUCUGGCUGUCUAGGCUGGUGUCCCCUUCCUCCCUCACUGCUCCAUUUGUGCCCUGCCUAAAGCUGCAGCUUGGUCGAAGAGGACGGCCUUUCCCCGAAUAGAAUAGAGAUGCACCAGUCCUCCAGUAGAGGGUAUAACAGUAGCUGCGCUCCCCUGCUAGAAUCUCCAAACAAGCUCUCAAAGACACUUCGGUCUCUUUUACCUGUAUGCUUUCAACUUCUCCUGUGGGGUAGCAUCACAUGGUAAUUACAUAUUGAGUAAAUUCA
ensembl:misc_RNA 7SK 7SK RNA